CCUGACAAGAACCAACCAUUUCACAGGAGACGCGGGACAAUAGGAAACCUGGGAGACACAGCAGCCACAGUGACCAUGUGCUCACUACUUCAUUGAGCUUCUUCGUUCAGCCCAAAUCCUGAGAACUGUGGAGGAAAGAGAAAACCACAGGGACAGUUGACUCUGAGAGAGAAACCAGGGCUUAAAUACAAGAACUCUCUGGAGCAGCGAAAUUGAGACCUAGUGCAUGAGGGUAGCAAGGCCAAUCAAAACAGCAGAAACAUCGUGCAGGAAAGUCCUUAGAUGGUAAAGUUAAGUGUCUGGAGGAAAGCAGAGGGAAAAGGGCCAUAAAUAAGACAGAGCUAAGGAUGAGAAAGACCACAGACAACAGCUGAGAGAUGCUCAGUGCUUUCCCUAAGGUCUCACGGGCUCAUAGACAGUCAAUUCCAGGUGAUCUUCUCCUUCUCCUUCUCCUUCUCCUUCUCCUUCUCCUUCUCCUUCUCCUUCUCCUUCUCCUUUCCUUUCCUUUCCUUUCCUUUCCUUUCCUUUCCUUCUCCUUCUCCUUCUUCUCCUCCUUCCUCCUCCUCCUUCUUCUUCUUCCCCCCUCUCCCUCUUUCCCCCUCUUUCUCUUCCCCCCCUGCAUAUGUGUGCAUGUGCCCUUCUCUCUCUCCCUUUCACUCUUGAAUUUAUUCUUUCUGCUAACUGAAAACAUGUUUACUUCAAAGUCUUUCUCCUUUCCUCCCUUCUU
rnacentral:lncRNA from 1 species